rnacentral:rRNA from 1 species
AUUGAACGCUGGCGGCAGGCCUAACACAUGCAAGUCGAACGGUAACAGGAAGAAGCUUGCUUCUUUGCUGACGAGUGGCGGACGGGUGAGUAAUGUCUGGGAAACUGCCUGAUGGAGGGGGAUAACUACUGGAAACGGUAGCUAAUACCGCAUAACGUCGCAAGACCAAAGAGGGGGACCUUCGGGCCUCUUGCCAUCGGAUGUGCCCAGAUGGGAUUAGCUAGUAGGUGGGGUAACGGCUCACCUAGGCGACGAUCCCUAGCUGGUCUGAGAGGAUGACCAGCCACACUGGAACUGAGACACGGUCCAGACUCCUACGGGAGGCAGCAGUGGGGAAUAUUGCACAAUGGGCGCAAGCCUGAUGCAGCCAUGCCGCGUGUAUGAAGAAGGCCUUCGGGUUGUAAAGUACUUUCAGCGGGGAGGAAGGGAGUAAAGUUAAUACCUUGGCUCAUUGACGUUACCCGCAGAAGAAGCACCGGCUAACCCCGUG